AUAAAAUAUUUUCAAAAUUGUGAUGACACCUUCUCUCAAUUUGUAUUUAUUUUCGCCUCUAGCCUUAAGAUAGAACAUAUAUAUUUAGUAAGCAUCUUCAUCUUUCUCUCUUUUAUUGAGGAUACAAAAUUUUCGAAUCAUCGACUUAAUGGGUAAUCCGGAUUUUAGCCAUGACCGCACACCUAUCGAUGUUUUUUUGUACCCAAUACUCGAUUUUUCACGUCGAAAGAGGCUGAAGAAUUCUCGUUUUAGAGUAAUGCCUUCUAAGAAAAAAAAGUUCUUUAAAAACUUAUUAAAGAACAUAGAAUCAUUUCCAAUAAUAGUGGCAUAUUUUUUGUGUACUAUAUAAAUCAUUGAAUCAUAGAAUACAAAUCAAAAUAUAAAAUAUCAUUAAGAACCAUAUUCUGGUUGUGACGGUUCUAUAUUAGGAUCCGAAAACAGACAUAAAAUUUCUGAAUUCUGAAAAAAAGUGAAAGCUUAGAGAGCCACCAAUAUGUUCUCCGGUACGCAUUGAGAAUAGUGGAGAUAUUACACUUCGUCCUGUGUUCGUGUAAUGCAUGGGAGCGUAAUUUAACUAUCCAUGUGGUAUCAGGUUCGACUGGAUUCCGGGCCAAGUGCACUUCCCGAUCAGUUGGCGAUGCACUGGGGUGUUGCUAACACCGCCAAGAUCUUCUUGGGGCUCAGAGAUGUAGCCCCAAAUAUAAAUGCCAUCUAUUUCCACUUCCUGAUAAUAUAAGUCGAAGUCGUAGUUGAAGCAAUGGUAGCCGAGGCCCCCUCGCCCUAAGGUGAAGCAUUUGAAGCUCUCUCCCGCUGCGGCACUGGUGGCAUCCCAGUCGGCAGACAUAACCGCGUACUUGGAGCUCGCUGCGGGCGGAUAUAGGCUCCGGCUUAGUGAGAGAAAAACUGCAGAAAGAUGAAAACGACGUCGUUGCUCUUGUUCUCAUCAGGCAUACACUGGAAGGGACUUCAGUCGCUAAGUUCAUUGAUUUGGAAAUUUAUAUUAGCCGAGAAAUUACCCAGGAAUUCGUUGCCUCGACUGGAGUAUCCUCGACUGGAGGAUCCUCGACUGGAUCCCCUAGAAGCACCCUCAUGAAUCGGGCCCUGUCGGCUUCGGCCUCCUCGGGGCUUGGAUGUGCUCCCAGUGUCCUCGUCAGGCGUAAGGCCAAACUAGUUUUCUUAGAAAUCUUAUCAAUGCGCCAUCCGCCGCAACUGAUAAGCCGCUCGACGCUCGAUCAUUCUAAAUGGCGCAUCAGGAAAAUAAAUUCGUGUUUUGGAGAAGUAAAACAUCCAAAAAGUAUUUAUUUUUCACUCUCAUAGUAUGUAGACUACAAUGUGGUACAGUUUGCAGGCAAAAAACAACCAAUAAUAAUCUAUAAUCUUUGGACUAUUGGCUAAUAUUGGGCUGCAUAACCCAACAGCAGUUGCGCUGAACAUCUGAAAGGUGGUUUGUUGAUU